rnacentral:lncRNA from 1 species
GCAACUGAAGAGAAUCUCUCUACUUGCAAGCCACUCAGGUCAAGGGAAGCUCUCACCCAUGGUGUCAGUCUCUCUCGUGAGCUCACUCCUCCCUGGAGGAGGCUUCUCUGCAUAACAAACUUUUGGCUUCUCUGGACUCAUUGCUGGUGUGACCAUGCUUCAUCUAUUUGAUCCUCUCCAUGUGGAAGUGGACAACAACCUGUUUCUCAGCCACUGUUGACUAUGGGAGCCAAGGAAUGCUGGCAACAGUCUCGUUUUGGUCAUUUUUAGAUGCAGAUCUGCAUUCUAAUUUUCUGAUAUUAUAUUUAGUUCAGUGAAAACCUGGAGCAACCAGACAAGUAUGACAAAGAAUUAACAGCUUUGCAGUUUGGAGAUGGAUUCAAGACCAGAGGAGGGAACCAGACUCAAAGUCAGUGCAACCUAUGGCUGUUAACAGUGUGUGGCAAUAAGUUGCAGGACCCACUCUGCUUUAGUAAUAGAAAGAAAUGUAAGAUACGUGAAGAAAACUACCAUGAGGAACCAGCACCAGCAAUCCAUUAGCCCGACACAAUGUGUACUGGGACAUACACUGCAAACACCAAGCUGGUGAGAAUGAAAGCCACCCCAAAUGAGAGAUGCCUUGGGUCUUCACACCCCGUGAUUCGAUGAUGUCAUAUAUAAGUUUAUACCUCAGAACUGUACAAUCAAGUAGAGAGGGAGGAAAAAAAUUGCAGAACUCCUGUUUAGGUAGUUUACAAUUUUGUACUGGACAGUAUCUGUUGCUCUCUCUGUCCACCCCCUGACCCAUGGUCAGGGGUUGGACAGGCCAAGAUCUCAGAAAGGAUCCAGGAGUCGUGGAAAUAGCAUCCUCGGUCUCUCUAGUCAUUGCAGUUCAAUGACACUGCUCUGACCACUUUCCAAAGCCAAGCAUGCGCUCAUGAAAGGACACGUCUAAACCAGCAGGGGAAAGAAAUAAAGUCCUGAAACAGGACCAAGCUGAAACCACCAGCAGCCCUGAUGUCAUCUCCAAUAGAGCUACGAGAAUCAGAAAUCCAGCUCUAAGUUGCCAGUUAUCGUGAAUCCUGGACUCAUCCAGAGUCGGGUCCACAUUGAGCAAAAUAGAGAAGGACAUGGUGAAACUCAGCAAAUAAAAAUACUUUGUCAAAAUGAGCCUGCAAACCAAAUUCCGAAGCACAAAAAGAAACAAUGCUAUCCAUGGCCAUGAUGCCUGCCAUUUUAAUUAUUCCGUGGAAAAAAUAGUAAAUGGAAUAAACUGAUAUUAAAAUGAUUUACU